CGCCGCCGCGUCCAUCACGCGCCUCCAGUCCUCGCCCACCGCCAAGUGCCUCCGAUCCUUAUCCUUCACGUGCCCCAAUCGCCUCCGGUCCUUCUGCUCCACGAGCCCCAAUAAUCGCGUCGCCGCAGGAGCCACUGCCUCCGUAUGCCGCGGAGGCAAGGUCGGCCCUGAGCGGGUGCAUCCGGGGGAGAAUUGGUGCAACCUCACUGGGCCCCAAAAUCCAAGGAUCCCCCGGCAGAGUAGUUUAUUUGCCUGUUUUGCCGCGGCUGAGAACAAGAUCUUAAUUGAUAUCAUACAAAUAUAUCUCCUCGAUUCGCAUUGUCUCCAUAGAAUCGAGAUACCAAAGAGGAUUUGACUGAGUAGAAAUCAUCUUCUACUCGACUGAAGUACCUGACUGAACCAAAAGGGAAUUUGCUUCCUACUGUGGCGACAUCCAGUCCUGGGACCAGGUGUUCUUGUUUCAACUUAUGCCAUAUUUUUUUGUAAUCUUUGUGUGCUAAGAUGUCGACUAAAAAGUAUUUUUGGGCAGGAAUUAUGCAAACGAGCAGAUGAGUUAUAGAAUCCCAAAAGGAGCAAAUGUAGCACUUGACAAAAGAAAAUUACUAUUUCCUCCGAUUCAUAUUAAUUGCAGUUAGUACGGAUGUAUCUACAACUAAAAUAUCUCUAGAUAUAUCUACAUAGAAAUAACUAAUAUGGAUUGAAGGGAGUAGUACAAAUACUAUUUCUAAAAUCAUAUCUUGAAACCUCUAUCUAUUGUACAGGUACAACCAAAUAAGGGAGGCCUAUAUAAGAACAAAUAUCGACUUUAUAAACUACAUCUGUCGAUAAAAAAAAUGUCGCAAGUUUAUCUAAAUUUAGAUAUAUCUAGAUAGUAUGUGCUCAAGGCAUGAGUACAACCUUAACUUGUUUACAUGAAGCCAAUUUCGGGGUUUCUACAUCUAUUCUUCAUACUGAGAUUGCAACGAAAUACUGACCAAAUUGAUGCAAUAACUUUAUCUGCUAUUCAUAAUUUCAUAUAUGAGAUGCCAACAAGAUUUUUUUAAUUCAUUUUUUUGUUUCUCCUAAAAUGAGAGAAGAAAAGGUUAAAUGAACUUUCAAUUUUCUCCGUUCAUGUCGUUCAGUUAUUGCAAGAUUUUCUUUAUUACAAAAAUGAACUCAUAUGUUCCCCGACGCAAGUGUAGUGUGGUCAAUUCAAAGUAUAGGUUCAGUUAUAGUUCAUUUCUAACAAUAUGCCAAGAAUAGUGUAUAUAUGUACACAUUUCAGCAAUCUUCGCCGACCUGCACGCAGUCGCUGCUGAUAUGCGGGCCGCCGCUGUGCUGACCAGCGGGCUACCCCGCCACCUGCCCCUUGCAAUUGCCGCCGAACUGCAGGCAGGUCCACUGCAUGGAACGUUGAUCCUCUCAAUCGCUCACGAGAGAUUUUGGGCAUCUCGCUUCGCUGCUGCGUCGCCCUUCCAUCUGGCCAUUGCAAUUGCCUCCGAACUGCAGGACGGUGCACUGCAUGGAGCGUCGAUCCUCGCAAUCGCCCAUGGGAGAUUUUGGGCAUACCGCUUCGCCGCCACCAUCUUCUUCAAAACCUACGUUGAUGAGCUUGGGGUAUGUGGGUCUUGCUUUCAUUACGAACCACUGUCAAUUGAGAAAACCAGGUUGCAUGAUGCUCAAUGCAGUAAUCCCAGUUCUGAUAAAGUGCAGGAGGCAAUGAGGUUUAUGGCCAUGUCAAUGCCGUGGCAAUACUUUAUUCAAGCGGAGCUAAAGGUGAGUGGUAGUUUUUUCAGUAUAUGUCUACAGCUUGAGUCUGAGUUGGAAAGGAUUUCCAUAUUGCCAUUCCUAUCAUCUUUAUGCUACACAGAAGUAAAUAAUCUGCUGAGCAUGGUGUGUGGUGGCUGGGAUUUUAUGACUUUCAGUGUCUGUUGAGCAUCUUAAUUAUUUUGCACAACCCGUACCACCAACUCUAGAUAUAUUUACAAAGUUGGUAAUUCGUGAGUCAUUUGAGAGAUAUUACUGCUGUGUUACCCUCAGUUUGGGCUUGCAUACUGUUAUCUCUUGGACUGGCAGUGGCAGUCUUUGCUUCGACAUGUUGUUCUGCUGAGUUUUUUUGGGGAGGCUAUUUGGGCACCAGACUACAUUUUCUUACUAUGCGCAUAUGUGGUAGAAUUGAAUGAUCUUCCAAUUUUGAAUCCUGCUCUAAAUGAUAAUAAAUCAGACUGCAGAUUAGAGAUCGUCUCACUUGGGAUUCUUGCACGGUAUGUGUUUCAUGAUUUUUCUGAAAGGCGGACAUUGUAUGCUGCUAUCUUCUUUCAACCCGUGUGUCACAUUUUGAUGUCAGUUAUCUGGUGCAAACGACUAAUUAAUCAGACAUAUCUGGUGCAAAUGAAUGAAAUAAAGAUCCAUCCAGCGUCAAUUUCUUCAUUCUUUUCCUGAUGUCGAAGGGGCAGAAGAACAAAUCCAUUGCACAAUCUUGCUCUUCUGAAGGUGAUUUGAAGAUCAGAUCCCUUCACUUCAAUAUACUAUUUUAGACUAUCGACAAUCUUGGACGGAGGGAAUACUAAUUGUAGAGAAUGGUUCACUGUAGCUAAGAGUCAUUUUAGUUAAGAGUCAUUUCUUUGGUCGGGCUAAACUUACAAAAGUACGCUGGGAGUUGCUUACUCCUAACAUUGAUCUUUGGUUUUAGUGAGGAAGCUGGUGCUGUAUUACGAGUUUUGGACUAUCCAAAUUCUGAAAUGUCUAGCAAAUUCAGCCACCUGUCCAGCUGAAUACAUAAGUUUCUCUUUUCAGCCAUCUGUCAAGGACGAACAUAAUUGAUUUCUGGCAAUUGUAUGAAUUUUCUUACAA